AUUGAACGCUGGCGGCAUGCCUUACACAUGCAAGUCGAACGGCAGCACGGGGCAACCUGGUGGCGAGUGGCGAACGGGUGAGUAAUGCAUCGGAACGUACCUUUCAGUGGGGGAUAACGUAGCGAAAGUUACGCUAAUACCGCAUAGUCUGUGAGCAGGAAAGCAGGGGAUCGCAAGACCUUGCGCUGAUUGAGCGGCCGAUGUCAGAUUAGCUGGUUGGUGAGGUAAAGGCUCACCAAGGCGACGAUCUGUAGCGGGUCUGAGAGGAUGAUCCGCCACACUGGAACUGAGACACGGUCCAGACUCCUACGGGAGGCAGCAGUGGGGAAUUUUGGACAAUGGGGGCAACCCUGAUCCAGCCAUGCCGCGUGAGUGAAGAAGGCCUUCGGGUUGUAAAGCUCUUUCGGCCGGGAAGAAAUCGCACGGGCUAAUACCCUGUGUGGAUGACGGUACCGGAAUAAGAAGCACCGGCUAACUACGUGCCAGCCGCCGCAGUAA
rnacentral:rRNA from 1 species